rnacentral:rRNA from 1 species
UACGUAGGGUGCAAGCGUUAAUCGGAAUUACUGGGCGUAAAGCGUGCGCAGGCGGUUGUGCAAGACCGAUGUGAAAUCCCCGGGCUUAACCUGGGAAUGGCAUUGGUGACUGCACGGCUAGAGUGUGUCAGAGGGGGGUAGUAUUCCACGUGUAGCAGUGAAAUGCGUAGAGAUGUGGAGGAAUACCGAUGGCGAAGGCAGCCCCCUGGGAUAACACUGACGCUCAUGCACGAAAGCGUGGGGAGCAAACAGG